AUAUACAAGUUGAGCCAAAAUGAAUACCCCCAGCAUUUUGAAAACCUAGCUAUUGUUUGAUCAAAUCAAGACAUCCAUUAGAGAGACUUAGCUAUCCAGCUUCUUAUAUAAGAAAGCUAAUGCAUAUUAGACGAGCUAUCAUCAUAUGCUCCUCUAUUCCCCUGAUGGGUUGUGUAUUGACUACUCUUGUUCAUCUGUUUUCUUCUUCUCAGUCGGACAGUGAAGACGACGUGAUGAGAGGCAGGGAAGACGAAGUUACUUCUUCAAGUAAUGCAACAGCUCAAAAGCAUUUCAGGCAACUUCAAUGCAUCAGAACCGCUUGAUCGAUGAUGUCGUUGCCCAUCUAACAGUACCAGUUUUGGGGCUUUUUUUAACGGCAUCUAUUUUCAGUCGUCGUAGCAUUUGUUCUUUACAUUCGAUCUGAAUAUACACAAUUUGGUACAAGCAAGAUGUGGGAUGUUGGAUUAGAUGAAACAUCGACUCACUUGAUGAUCAUGAACCAGGCCGGACGGAGGUUUCGAUCUCAUACUUGAUCAUUUCUUACUUGAUUCGGAGGUUUCAGAUUUUAUUUUUAUUUAUUUGUUUGGGUAUUUUGAUGUUAAUUAGACUUGGAUCUAGUUAACAUGUGUUAUGUAUUUUGAUGUUUUGUUUAGAUUUAUGAGUUAUUCUUGCAUGUUUUACUGAAGCUAUGCCAUAUAAUUUUGUAUAAUUUAACCUAAGUAAUAAUUAUGCAAAAUAGAUAAAUAUGUAUGUAUGUAUCUAAAAAGUGAAGAGAUGAUGUCUUUUUUUUUUUUUUGUUAUAUUCUUAUAAAAAAUCCAACCGAUUUACAAUAUAACUAAAUCAUGGGUAUCACUCAUCUUUCGAGUUCUUUCAAAAAUCAGCCUAAUUGAAAAGCACGAGGGUCGACCUAAUGUGACAGAGUGAUCGUGAGUUCUCAUUGGGGAAGAGGCUAUCUAUGAACAGACAAAACUGGAUUUUGAAAUGAGCAUUCAGUAUCUUAUUCCCUGCCUAGCUACUAACAUUUGUUCACUGUGAUAAUAACAGCGGUCUAAUUGCCUCAAAGCAAUCAAGAUAAGACCAUGAUUGGAAAGUAGCACUCCAGAUGGUGCUUGUUUGCUUAGUCAAAACAUGUGAUUGGAAUUAGUGAAUUAGGGGAGCCGAUGAGCUGAGACAUGUUGGUUUCGGUUCGUCUGGCUGCAACUCUUGCGAUCACGAAGGAUGGGCGGACCUCCUUUGGUCCGGUGGGCGCCACAGCAGUGUCCGAUCAGCGUAGGGUGAAUCCAAGGGCUUUUAUGGGGACUAUUGCUUCUGUUUGGGGGUGGUAAUAGGAUGACAAUCAGGGAACAACGUGGACGGUAUGUGUUCCAGUUCACGUCGCCGGUGGACCGAGAAAUGGUGUUGGAUGGGGGUCCAUGGUUUUUCAGGAAACACGUGCUGGCGGCGGUGAUGUUCGGUGGAUUUGGUGAUGUUGAGGCUGCACUGAUCAAGACGAUUCCAGUGUGAGUCGAGAUCUUUAGCCUGCCUCCAGCUCUAUUCAUGGAGGGGGGUUGUGGCGUUGAUUGGGGCCACAUUGGGUGAGGUGGUAGCGCUGGAUAGCCUGGCGAUACGUAAGGGCAAAGGAGCUGGAUAGCCCCUGUGAAGCAUAUGUACCCUUCGACGACUUUCGAGUUUACUGCAGGAGCGGCGAUAACGGUGUGUCUCAAGUGUGAAAGGCUAGUGGGUUGCUGGAGCAUCCCUGCACAGGUUGGCUGGUGCACCGAUGGUGGUGAAGCUGAUUCGUGUUUGCCCCUAACCCUAACUCUAUGGUUAGGGUUUCUGAUCGCCCUGCGACACUGGGGGUUUCAAGUUCGGGAUUGCAGCCUAUUCCCAAUCCCUUAGCUGUUGCUCCGAGGCCUUUACCCCUCUCUUUCGGGUACGUUGGCUACACAGUUUCCACGGCUCUAGUUGCGAUCGGCGACUGUUUCUCUGGUUGUGGAGACCCCGGCUCCAUCGGUUCCAACUAAGCCUACUACAGGCAAGAAGCGUGCUGCAGCACCUUUGACAGUGAUUCAGUACCGUAAUCGUGUGACAUCUGCUGCGGCAGUUGUGGAUGGAAAACUGGGUAGUGAUUCGGUUCUUCUAGGGUGAGCCUUAAUUGGCAAUCAAGUGCGCCAACGAUGUGAUUCUUGUGUCUCCUGCUAAGAAAUCCAAGUUGGAUGAGCUCUGGGGAGGAAGAACAAUCCGAAGGACGGAAUGCUUAAGACACUAAAAAUGAACGGGGACCCAAAUCCGCCGAGAGAUUAAUUUCAUUGCCGACCCAAGCUAGUGUAGCCAAACUCCAAGAGAGAAUAGCGUUUCACGGAAUAUUAUUGUUCCUCAUCCUACCUACUCCAUCAUAUUUUGUUAAGAAAGAUGAUUUGUAAUAUUGAUGGUCACUCUAUGCUGUAUGCGUAUUGUGACAAUAAACAGCUCAGUCCAUGUGUUGAUGCAGCCAAGUAGUGACAAGAUUUGCGGGUGAAUUUGAGAGGGAAAAAUAUCA